CUUACUUUGCUUUAUCUUUUGGGUUUUCCUGUCACUCUUAGCUUUUUGUAGCUCUGUGUCCACCCUGGUUACUUGAUUUGAUCUCCUGUAGUGCCUAUCCCCUUCCAGUUGGUUUUCUAGAUCCUGGCUUUCAAGCUCUAUGGAUCAAUUUGUUAUGAAGACGGAGCUCAGUAGACUAAACAAAGCCUGCUCAAGGACGCGGUAAUGGCUGCUCAUUUUUCUUUUGUUUUUCCCUGUGAGAGGUUCUCGGCUUGCAGCAACAGAAAACUGAGGAUAAAGGGAGAAAGCAAGAAGCAUAAAGAGAAACAGACAUUUUAAAAGCAUCUGAAAAGCGAGACAGCAGAGGAUUAAGAGCCUGGCUGGAAGUACACAUGUGUCAUGUAAUGGGCUCCAUCCUGAAAGGGGAGAAGAAGUGGCGUAUGAUGGGCCAAGUAUCCAGUCUGCUGAGAUUGCUCUAAAAGAAAAGGAAUGGUGGCACUUCCUCCAAUCGUGAAUGCUAUAAUUGGGAACCACAGUUAUCUACAGCCUGUCUGCAUUGAUCACUGUCAUUUGUUGAAAAUCUAUUAUCAAGGAAUAAAGUUUCUGAGAUUGCAAUCCUAUGGAUCCAAACUCCACUAAAUUCAAUGGGACUUGCAUCAAGGUGGAUAACGAACAUCUGCUCUGAAAGCACCCUGAUAUGAGAAAAACAGGUUCUGGCUGGAAUAUCACUUGGUAUCUCACCUGUGCAAUGUCUGCUUUUUAUGCCUAUUGUUAACAUCCUUGCUAAAAAUAAGAUGUACUGUGAGGUAAGUGGGUAAAAGAGGAAAGGUGCUGUGAAUAGGAUAUAUGUUGGGGCUGGUAUAUUAUAUUUGCUUCCAUUUUUUGUCUGUACUUCUAAAAUAACUUUCCUUCCCUCUUCCUUUUUCUCAUCUAGCAGAAACAAAUGUGGUGAGAUAGAAGUGCUUAAAAGGGGAAAUCAGUAUCUAAAUAUCAUAUAUGCAAAGGCAGUUACCUUUUAAAUUACCUUAAAUGAGGAAUAAAGAAAGUAAAAUCUGUCUAAUAAAGAAAAGUGUAUUCAAAGUUAAUGGGCCCAGAAUCUCUGUUACAGCACUUCUAUACUAAAAGCUUCCAUUCAGCAUGUUAAUGCAACAUCAGCUGUAUUAUAGUGAGUAGUUCAGAUCACCUGGGCAUAAAGGAGAGUCAAGUUCAAAUAAUGGGUCCACCCCUAAACAACCCAUUAACUAUCUGACUCACAUCCUGAUCUCCAGAUGGAAAUAAUAGUACAGAAGCCCUUGGCAGGAAAAUAAGGAGAAUUAAUGAGGCAAUCGUUGUAAAUGCUUUGCUCACUUAGAUUGUUAUUACAAAUAUAUGCCAUUAUUUGGAGCACUUCACAGCCAGGUUUAAUGGAAUUCAAUUAGAAAGGUAGUCGUUUUGUGAUCCUACAUUUACUUUCAUUCAACCACACAAAGACUCUGUCCAAGGAAGGUCCUUCAAACAUAUGCACUGACCAAUUAGCACGUCACUCAAAGUGGGAAUCCAAGAAAGAAGAAGCCUCUGUCUUGCAUGGUCAGCGCUACCAUUAGAGACAUAAUGGGUGAACUGCCUUGAGUCUAAUGGUCCUUCUCCCCCUUUAAGAUCAAACCAGUAUAGUGGUCCUGCAUCUCCAAACUAGCUUGAUGCUCUUGGGUAUGGUGGAUAUGAUAUUCUGUGCUGAUGUAAGACUCAUUUAUCCAGUCAUUUUCUUCAUUUGUAAGAUGUUAGAUACACCCUAAUUUCAGUACCAUCACUACCAACAAAAACAUAUAAGGCAUGCCUGUGAUUCUAAGACACACCCCAUUUUUAGAGAUGUCCAGCUCUGUCACUCCUUUCCACCUGUCACUAAGGAAGCUGUUCAGGUCCUGAACCGGUGUCUGGCCACUGUGUCGGACUGGAUGAGGGCGAACAAAUUGAAACUCAAUCCAGACAAGACAGAGGUCCUCCUGGUCAGUCAUAGGGCUGAACAGGGUAUAGGGUUACAGCCUGUGUUGGACGGGGUCGCACUCCCCCUGAAGACACAGGUUUGCAGUCUGGGGGUUCUCCUGGACUCAUCGCUGAGCCUGGAGCCCCAGGUUUCAGCGGUGGCCAGGGGAACUUUCGCACAACUAAGACUUGUGCACCAACUGCGCCCGUACCUUGGGAAGACUGACUUGGCCAUGGUGGUCCACACUCUGGUUACAUCCCGUUUGGAUUACUGCAACACGCUCUAUGUGGGGCUGCCUUUGAAGAUGGCCCAGAAGCUCCAAUUAGUACAACGGGCAGCAGCCAGAUUAAUAACUGGGGCGGCAUACAGGGAGUGUACUACUCCACUGUUAAGCCAGCUCCACUGGCUGCCGAUAUGCUACUGAGCCCAAUUCAAAGUGCUGGUCUUGGCCUACAAAGCCCUAAACGGUUCUGGUCCAACUUACCUGUCUGAACGUAUUUCCUCCUACGAGCCUGUGAGAACUUUAAGAUCAUCUGGAGAGGCCCUGCUCUUGGUCCCACCUGCCUCACAAGUGCGGGUGGUGGGGACGAGAGACAGGGCCUUCUCAGUGGUGGCUCCUCGGCUGUGGAACUCCCUCCCCAGUGAUAUCCAGCAGGCUCCAUCCAUUCUGAGUUUUAGGAAAAAAGUAAAGACUUGGCUUUGUGAGCAGGCAUUUGAUGAGUGAAUUCUGUUGGCUUGACUCGGUCCGGAUUAAGGUUUAUGUAUAAGGUCUUGUGGACAAAUGGCUCAAGUAUUUUAUAAUGUAUGGUUCUAAAUCUAUUUCUUGUAUUUUGUUAAUUACCUAAUUGUUUUAAUUGCUUAUGUUUUAUCUUUUUGUAUUGUAUAUUGGCAUUGAAUUUUGCCAGAUUGUGAGCCGCCCUGAGUCCCCUUGGGUGAGAAGGGCGGGAUAGAAAUGAAUGAAAUAAAUAAAUAAUAAAUUCUGGCAAACAAGCUAGUCAUAUGUGGGCUAGGCAAAACUAUGAUCAGGUGGAUCUGUAAUUGGUUAAGCGAAUGAGUCCAAAGGGUGCUCACCAAUGCAUCUUCUUCAUCCUGGAAAGAAGUCAGGAGUGGAGUAUUGCAGAGUUCUUUCCUGGGCCUGGUUCUGUUCAAUAUCUUCAUUAAUGACUUAGACAAAAGGUUAGAAAGCAUGAUCAUAAUGUUUGCAGAUGACACCAAAUUGGGAGGGAUAGCUAAUACUCCAGAAGACAUGAGCAGAAUUCAAAAUGAUCUUAACAGAUUAGAGAGAUGGGCCAAAACUAACAAAAUGAAGUUCAACAGGGACAAAUGCAAGAUACUCCACUUAGGCAGAAAAAUGAAAUGCAAAGAUACAGAAGGAGGAGGCAACUAAAAUGAUUAAGAGUCUGAAGAACCAGCCCUAUGAGGAGCGGCUUAAAGAGUUGGGCACAUUUAGCCUGCAGAAGAGAAGGCUGAGAGGAGACAUGAUAUCCAUGCAUAAAUAUGUGAGGGGAAGUCAUAGGGAGGAGGGAGCAAGCUUGUUUUCUGCUGCCCUUGAGACUAGGACGCUGAACAAUGACUUUAAACUACAGGAAAGGAGAUUUCACUUGAACAUUAGGAAGAACAAAUAAUGUAUAAAUGCACAUUUACAUGGAACAAUAAAAAGAAAAAUCAAGCAUCACUCUCUUCAUACUGCACCCAUUCCAGCCUCCCUCCCUCUUUUUCUCUCUCUCCCUCUCUUUUUUCAUGAAGUCAAACAUACUAGGAAUAAAAACCACACAAAAUCAACUAACCCAAAAUUCCUCAAAGCAGAUAAGAGCAAAGCGGACAGCAAUCUCCCAAAGCAGACAAGAGCACGAGGCAUGGAGAUACAAGGCACGGAGGCUGCCCCCUUGAAACCCCAAAGCCCUGUACUCUUACACUAGUGCUCCCUCUGACACUAGCUCUAAACUCAAAAUGCUGCUUUUAUGUCAAACCUGGGCUGAGAGACAGCUCUUAACUCAAGGGGCCGGGCUGUGGCGCAGGCUGGUAAGCAGCUGCUGCAAUAAAUCACUCUGACCAUGAGGUCAUGAGUUCGAGGCCAGCCUGUGGCGGGGUGAGCACCCGUCAAUUAAAAUAAAAUAUAGCCCCUGCUCGUUGCUGACCUAGCAACCCGAAAGAUAGUUGCAUCUAUCAAGUAGGAAAUAAGGUACCACUUAUAAAAAAAAGUGGGGAGGCAAGUUAAACUAAUUAACAACGUUGGAAUGAGGAAGUGAGGAAGUGCCGUUAGAGUGGAUGAUGAAGCAGCUGCUCCCCCCUGUGGCCAGAAUCAAACAUCCCCUCAGGAGAAGGUUAAAUUGCCUCUGCAUCCGUCCGUCUGUUUGUCUGUCUGUCUGUCUCUGUCUCAGUUCAAUGUGUUUAUGGGCAUUGAAUGUUUGCCCUAUAUGUAUAUAAUGUGAUCCGCCCUGAGUCCCCUUCGGGGUGAGAAGGGCAGAAUAUAAAUACUGUAAAUAAAUAAAUAAAUGUUCUUAAGUUGGGACACUCUUUAGUAGUGAUUCCACUGUAAUAAAAACAUUAAUCCAGGUGUCACUGCUGUUGUCUCUCUGAGAGAUCAUCCACUAGUAUCAACUUCCACUAUUGUCUGCUGUCCAGAAGUUACUUGGCACAUUUAGUACGGCUCCCCCGCAAAAGCCUGUCUGUCAUGGGAGUUCCUGUUAGAAGCAGUGCUAUUAUCAUCAUAGCCUCUUCCCUUAUAAAAGCAUAGAAUCCUACCACUGUGGAAAUGUGUAGGAGUCUUGUACCUGCUGGGCUGCCUGGCUGCCUGGAUUCCUUCCUUCCUUCCUUCCUUCCUUCCUUCCUUCCUUCCUUCCUUCCUUCCUUCCUUCCUUCCAUCCAUCCAUCCAUCCAUCCAUCCAAGGCAUACCAUGCAUUUAGAGAAUCAAUUGCUGUUUUCUUUUAUUGAAUUUUGUGUUCCCAUCCAUUUUUCCUUUUAAACACAUAAUAUUUGUAAGUGCUUUCACCAUGUUUUCUAUUAAUCUUCCAAUAAGCUGAUUCCUUUUUUUGUUUUGUUUUGUUUUGUGCAAUACUACUGGGAAAUUGACGGAGCACAUCUUCUUUAGAAACAAAAGAAAUCUAGGAACAAAACAGGCAGUAGAAGUGCACCCAAACAAAUCAUCUGCUCAUAUGGAAAGCAUGUCCUUGUUAUCCACCCCCCCCCCCCCCCCCACAUGGUUAGGCAAUGCAUGGUAUGUAAGCUUCAGGAGGUCAUUAAAGCACGAAUAAGCAUAGUCCUGGAGGACAGGUCUAUUAUGACAAUUAAACAGGACUAGUAUAUCUGUGAGUACAAUAUACCCACACAAAUGAUAAGAAAUAGUGGUUGCCUUCAUACCCUGUUGUCUUUUCCAUGGCUUCUGGCUGAAAGCAGGAUGCUUGAAUGAAGAGAAAAGAGGUAAGCUCAAGCAUUCAGGCAUCUUUCAUUAUCAGAGCUGUAGUUUCCAUUCAAUAUGCAGCAUAUUUUAUGCUUCUGUCUCUUUUUCUCUCUCCCCCCCCCCCCCCCCCGCAAUAUAUAUGUUACAUGAUACCGUAUUUUAUGUUUUCCCUCUAUCUUGCCCUCUAUUCAGCUGAAGUAUAUCUUCAUAUAUAGUUUAUUCUAUUCCACGUGAAAGAAAACUCCAAACAUUUCAUCUUGCCUGAAUAGAUUUUUUGUCACACUAAAAAUGUCUUUUUAAAAGCAACAACUGCAAAAAGGUCCACUCAAAUUUAAAUUUUUCUCUUUCCUCCUCAUUUGUCUGUUUAACAACACAUUAUUUUAGGCAUUUUUGUGUAUAAUGACUUUAUUCACAUGUUUUCUUGCUUUUAUUCUGAAAACUUUUCCAGAAUUGGAAAGUCUUAGAAUCAUAGAAUCAUAGAAUCAUGGAGCUGGAAGUGACCUCAUGGGCCACCCAGUCCAACCACCUGCCAAGAAGCAGGAGAAUCACAUUCAAAGCACAGAUGGCCAUCCAGCCUCAGCUUAAAAGCCUCCAAAGAAGGAGCCUCCACCACACUCCAGGGCAGAGAGUUCCACUGCCGAACAGCUCGCACAGUGAAGAAGGUGUGAUUGUAAGGGUAGGAUGAGGAAUCUUGGAACUAAUUGCCUCGGAAAGCACUUAAGCUCAGGGGACCCACUCUACCUCAUACAUUCUGAAGAAUCGGCACCUUGGAGUUGUCAGUAUCUUUCAAUAAGGACAAUGCUAUCUGCCUGCUUUGAUCACAAUCCUGGAAUAAGUGGAACUACUAAUGUAAAAGACAAUUAUACUAGCAAUGUCAACAUGAUUGGGCCCAUAUGUUUUAUACUGGUCCAUAUGAAUUUUGAAAAGAUUUAUCUCAAGCUAUACUCUGAUUUAGAGAAAGAACAUAAAAAUUACUGCAAAAUUAUCCUAGCCUUCAAAGCUACAUAUUUAUUCCACAGUUUCCACUGUUACCACCACUCCGUAGCCAACUGUAGAACAUCUGCUAGCUGUCUUCUCAAGCAAAGACUGUCAAGAGAAAGUUUGGUUUUGUCUACUCUUAAUUUUCAAAUGGGUAAACUUUCCUUGAUCUCAAAGACUCUUUGUUUUUUUAAUUUUUUAUUUUAUCAUAAUUCAAUACAUUUGUUAUACAUUGUUUGUUUAAUAGCAGACAAAUAAUAUUCAAUACAAUCUACCAUUCAUUAACUUUUGGCAUCUACUGUUAUUUUUAUGCUUAUACAUAUUUUCUAUCCUUCACCACUGUGUGCCCCUCCCCAUGAGCCACUAUUUUUAUAUAUCAUCAUCUCUUUGUAUUAUUGAAGCCAGAUCAAAUAAUAUUUGGGUACUUGUUACUUAUAAGCCCAUUAAAAAUAAUUAAGAGAUCAACAUGACUAUUUAUACUUCACCUAUCCACCAAAAAUGACAUCCAGGGUGGCUUACAAACUGAAGUAACAACAAAUAGUUACAAUUUACAAAAGAUCAGCAUAAAAAUAGAAUUUAGCUAUUACCAACACAAAGUGAAACAUACAAUAAAAACAGGUUUAAAGGGUACAAUUAAAACAAUAGAGCAGUGAUUCUUUCAACCUCUGGGUCCCCAGAUGUUUUGACCUUCAGCUCCCAGAAAUCCUAACAGCUAGUAAAAUGGCUGGGAUUUCUGAGAGUUGUAGUCCAAAACACCUGGGGACCCACAGGUUGAGAACCACUGCAGUAGAGCAUUCUCUUAGACCAGUGGUUCUCAAACUGGGAUCCCUAGAUGUUUUUGGCCUACAACUCCCAGAAAUUCCAGCCAGUUUACCAGCCAGGAUUUCUGGGAAUUGAAGGCCAAAAAACAUCUGGGAACCCCAAGCUGAGAACCACUGUCUUAGACCCCUUCCACACAACUAUAUACAAUCUACAUUGAACUGGAUUGUAUGACAGUGUAGGCCCAAAUAAUCCAGUUCAAAGCAGAUAUUGUGGAUUAUCUGACUUGAUAUUCUGGAUUAUAUGGCUGUGUGAAAGGCCCUAAGAUAUCCUUUCUUUUAAAGAUUUCAGUUUUCGAAAGCCUGUUGUAACUAUCUAUCUGUCUAUCUAUCUAUCUAUCUAUCUAUCUAUCUAUCUAUCUAUCAUCUAUUUAUCAUUGUUGAUGGAAAGACAAACAGGAUGGAGUCAUUCUAGCUUGCCUCUCUAGGCAGAGAGCUCCAGACCUCUUUGAUAGAUAGACAGAUAUUAUACUUUGAAAUAUGCUUCAUUUGUUCCCAGGUCUACCUUUUCCAUGAGAAAGCUUGUAAAAUGUACUUGUCUUUAACAAAAUUAAAAACAGUAGUCAAAAUUGUACUCUCUUUCUCUAACCCAUUCUGAUUCUACCCUCCUAUUUUACUGAACCACUACUAGCAUCGGAUGUUACUGAUCUUUAUUCAGCUGCAGAAAAGAGAGGAAAGGGGAGAUUUCCUUAAGACUAUCUCUGUUGUGUGAGGAUCCAAAACCAACACAGCCAUCAAAAUUUGUAGAGAAAGAAGUUGAAGAAACUCAAAUUGGCAGCUGGGCAUGCGGGCCCAAGGGAAUCUAAAAUGAAGAAGUUGAAAGCAUAAAGAGACCUAGAGAUGAAGCAACUGAAACAGCAGCAGGCCAGGUGAAACCAGCUGUGCAAAGUGCAGAGAUCAAUGAAUUGCUGGUGAAAUGUCAUUCUGAAUAUGCAUUACAUUGAUUUAAUCCACAACUAAGAAUUAAAGAUUCUUUUUAUGAAAUGUCAGUCUAAAUUGCAGUAGUGGCUUGAAAAUGAAACAUAAUCAUGUUGGAGAGAUCAAAUGACUGUAUUCUAAUUAUGUGUAUCUAAAGGGUCUUCUUUUCCAAUGUGAACAUACAUAUCAAUUGCAAUUUUGCUCAGAUAUCCUUUUCAAACACUCUUUAGAAGUUGGUCUUUCACUUCUUUGGAGCAUCAAAAAUGGUGUUCAAUGCCCCCAUAUCUGUUUUGAACCAAUGUUAUUAUCCUUUAAGGCAUUGGAUGAAGUUUUCCAUCUUGUCUUGUGCUUUUACUGCAUGGAUAGGCAGAAGUGGCCCCUCAGAAGCAGCCCUACCCAAUGUAAUCAAUGGUGCAGGAUUAAGGGGGUUGCAUUUCACAGUAAUCUGGAUAACUCAGUUGAGCAUAUUUUUAAAUGAUAAAAUAGAAUAUUGUACCUGUCCCACAAGUGCAAUUUCCAUGGAGUUGAGGUGAAAUCAAUUAAAAUCAUUUUAUAAAUCUGACCCAACAGCCAGAAGUGAAGCCACCACAGCACUCAAUUUGCAGGACAGAUCCAGCAAGAGAAUGAUACAGGAUUACAUCCAAUGUCACUAAGACCCCUCCACACAGCUGUAUAAAAUCCAUAUUGAACUGUAUUAUCUGUCGUCUGGACUCAGAUAAUCCAGUUCAAAGCAUAUAUUGUGGAUUAUCUGUCUUGAUAUACUUGGCUGUAUGGCUGUGUGAAAGGGCCUUAAGAGGGUAAAGCAGAACCUACAGGGUUAUAUCAAAGUUUAGGUAAGUUUCCUUUUUGUCUUUGGAAAAUAACAGCUGACAUUCUGGUAGUAAGUUAUUACGUUGUAAGUCUGCCAUAUACCAUUGUAACUCAUUUGGGGAAGCAUUGUGUAGGUCACAAUUGUGUUUCAAAUGUGUAAUAAUCAAAAGUCCCCUCAACUCAUUUUAUAAACUAUAUAGUCCCUUCACACAACAAUUUCUGAAUUGUUGGACAGAGAGGUGUCAAUGGUGAUGUGUCUGGGCCUGGGUGUUGUCCUUUAUGUGCAGAACUGAGCAGUGACAUAGUGCAAAGCCAUCAUUUGCAAGAAUUACAAAGGGACCCCCAGAAGUCCCUGCCAAUGCUUGUUGCAGUGUGUUCAGCUGUUGGAAAAUAGCUGGACAUAUUUCUGUGAGUGCCUUAAUUCUCCAACAAGCUAAAAGUGGCACUGUUUGAAGAGACUGCAUGGCUUAUAAAAUGUGUUAUUUUUAUGGGGGGUGAGUAUAGCAACAGGAGAUGUAGCUCUGGAGCUUCAUGUACAUAAUAAUAAUAAUAAUAAUAAUAAUAAUAAUAAUAAUAAUAAUAAUAAUAAUAAUAACAACAACAACAACAACAACUUUAUUCUUAUAACCCGCCUUCAUCUCCCCAAAGGGACUUGAGGUGGUUUACAUGGGGACCAAGCCCAGAGAAUCAAGUAACAGAUAUAAAAUUAAAAACACAACAAUAAUAUAAUUAAAACAGUUAAACAAUAGAAUAAAACAUCAUGAAUACAUCAGCGAGAAUCAAAAACUAAGAAGUGGGAUUAUUAAAAUUGCAAAGAAAGAGCAGGGCCUUUUCAAGAUGCAGGACAAUAGAGUCAAGAGUGGGGAUAAAGUGCUGGAAUCAGAGCAGUAAACAAUUAGGACUGAGCAGUGAUAAAUUAUGAAACUGACCUAUCAUUCAAAAGCACAUUUAAACAUCAUGUCUUCAAGUCUUUGUGGAAUGUAGACAGGGUGGGGGCUAAUCUGAUCUUCCUGGGGAGAGAGUUCCAAAGCUGGGGGGCCACAACCAAGAAGGCCCUCUUCCUUGUCCCCACCAACUGUGUUUGUGAUGGAGGCGGGAGUGAGAGAUGGACCUUCCUGGCAGAUCUAAGAGCCCACACUGGUUUGUAGGGAGAGAUGCAGUUGUGAAGAUAAGCAGGACCCAAACCGUUAAAGGCUUUGGAGGUCAUAACCUGCACUUUGAAUUGGGACCAGAAAAUUAUUGGCAGCCAAUAGAGCUGCUUCAAGAGUGGUUUCGUGCACUUCCUGUAGCUAGCUCCUGUUAACAAUCUUUGCACCAGUUGUAGUUUCUGGGUCAUCUUUAAAGGCAGCCCCACGUAGGGCUCAUUGCAGUAAUCCAGUCUAGAUGUAACCAAAGCGUGGACCACAGUGGCCAAGUCAGGCUUCUCUAGGUACGCUCACAGCUGGCGCAAAAGUUUUUAUGGCACAAAGGCUUUCCCAGCCACCACUGACUCCUGAGCAUCAAGCAUAAAUGCUGAGUCCAAGAGGACCACCAGACUACGGACCUGUGCCCUCAGGUGGAGUGUAACCCCAUUGAGCACAGGUAGCCACCCUAUACCUCAAUUGGCACCACGACUGACCAGGGGGACCUCUAUCUUGUCUGGAUUAAGCUUCAGCUUAUUUGCCCUCAUCCAGUUCACCACAGCAGUCAGGCACUGGCCCAGGACAUGAGAGGCUUCCUUGGAGUUAGGUGGAAAAGAGUAAUAGAGUUGGGUGUCAUCUUCAUAGAGAUGGCACAGAACUCCAAAACUCUGGAUAACCUCACCCAGUGGUUUGACGCAGAUGUUAAAAAGCAUAGGAGAAAGAAUGGAACUUUGUAGGAUCCCACAGGUCAAAGGCCAGGGGUCCAAGCAGGUAUCCCCCAGCUUCACCAAUUGAGUGCAGCCCUCCAGGAAGAAGUGGAGCCACUGUAGAGCCAUGUCCCAAAGCCCAUUUCGGAGAGCUGUCCCAGAACAAUACUAUGGUAAACAUUUAAAAAACUAUAACAGGGUCUAUUGACUAUGGUUGUAUUUGAAAGAAUAUUUUAAAAAUUUCGAAUGACCACAAAACACCUUUCUAAUAUGAAUCACUGAGAAAGAGAAUCAUGGAUUGAUGAGAAUCUUUGCAUUUUGGGACUUAUUUUGAGCAAAAUUCACAUGUAGACAUUUUGUGUAGAAAAACUACUUUAUGACCAGAAAAUAAUACAAUAUGCCCCCUUAUCCAUAGGAGAUAUGUUCCUGAAGUUACCAUGAAAACGGGAAACCAUGGAUGCCCUAUUGAAAUGAAAAACUUCCACCAGAAGCAUAUCAUAGAAUUUCUUGGAAAGACUAGAAAAUUCUUAGAGAUGACAUAUUGUGAAACUAUGUGUACUGGUCCUGUAAGGAAUGUUUUAUGUGCAGAAAAGGAUAGGUGAAUUACAUGUGCAAUAUAUUUCAAAAUUCAACAAUCUUAGAUAGCUGAUCCAUGUUCAAAUAUAUUAUUGUAGCAGGAAGAAAAUUGCUUAAAUUAUUAAUGGCACCCUGUGAGAAUGAAAUUAGAUUGAUUUCCUUGUUUUUGUUUUUAUUUUUAUUUUUUAAAAAAUGUGAAUAAAGAUAUACAGAUAAAACACUCUUAAGAACAUUAUUCUUUCAGCACAUAAGGUUUAUAUUGUAGUGACUUUGACCAGGGCUUUUAAAACUUUUUCCACUGUGGCGCCUUUCUGUCCAAGUUUUUUUAAUGACCCUAGAUAUAUAGGUAUAUAAGCUAGGUAUAAAAAUGAAACAUUCAUGAUAAUAAAUCAGCAUUUGCAAGACUUG